UACGGAGGGUGCUAGCGUUGUUCGGAAAUACUGGGCGUAAAGCGCACGUAGGCGGCGCAGCAAGUCAGGGGUGAAAUCCCGGGGCUCAACCCCGGAACUGCCCUUGAAACUGCAGAGCUAGAAUCCUGGAGAGGCGAGUGGAAUUCCGAGUGUAGAGGUGAAAUUCGUAGAUAUUCGGAAGAACACCAAUGGCGAAAGCAGCUCUCUGGGACGGUACUGACGCUGAGACGCGAAAGCGUGGGGAGCGAACAGG
rnacentral:rRNA from 1 species